ACGUAGGUGGCAAGCGUUAUCCGGAAUUAUUGGGCGUAAAGAGCGCGCAGGUGGUUGAUUAAGUCUGAUGUGAAAGCCCACGGCUUAACCGUGGAGGGUCAUUGGAAACUGGUCGACUUGAGUGCAGAAGAGGGAAGUGGAAUUCCAUGUGUAGCGGUGAAAUGCGUAGAGAUAUGGAGGAACACCAGUGGCGAAGGCGGCUUCCUGGUCUGUAACUGACACUGAGGCGCGAAAGCGUGGGGAGCAAACAGGAUUAGAUACCCG
rnacentral:rRNA from 1 species